UUUUUUUUUUUUAACUUUUUAAAAUGCUUUUUAAUGUUAAAUAAUACUAAAUAAUUUUUGUAAUGUCUUCCAUUCAUAUAUGCAAUAUCAAAUACUAACAUAAAAAAUUUUUCUAAUAAAAUAUAAGCAAAGCUAGCAAUUUGACAGUUUUAGCAUUGUCAUUUCAAAUUUGGCUACAACCAAUCUAAAUUUGAAAAGUUGUAUAUAACUGACCAAAUUAAGAGGAUAGAUCACAAUUGCAAAUUUGAGUAAAGUUGAAAUUUACUUUUCGUCAUUAACCCUUUUGUAAAAUUCAAUUUGGUCUCUUUUACAACAUAAAAUGACAUGUUUUAGAUUAAACAUACAUCAGUUUGAACUCACAACAAGCUCAAUUUUAGCAAUGAUGAACAUAGGUAUUAACUUUUACAAAGCAGAAGAACCACAAAUUUUUUACUUUUGAAAAAGGAAAGAACUAUGUGUUUAAUAGGCCAAAUCUAACCUUUUUGUAACUUUUGUUUUGAAAUUUAUGGUUUGGAAGUUCAUUGAAUUUCUUGAAUUAAGUUUAAUUACUUAAAGCUAUUAACCUACAUGCACAGUGAAAAAUGUUAUAUGUUAUUUGAAAUAUUAUAACCAUAAAGAUAUCACAUACUAGCUACAACGCAAGAAAAAUAAAUGACAAGAAAGGUAUUCUAAAUUUAUAUGUGCACUGCACAUUUCUUUCUUUUGAUUUAUUAAUAAAGAAUUUCAUGAAGAAACUCUCACGGUAUUUUGAAAUUUUCUUUGUCAAUUCAAUAAAACAUAUGCUUCCACAACUAUAUUUAUUCUUUGUGUAAAAUUCUUGCUCAAAAUUUUCUCAAUUAUUCCUUAUCGUAUAGUUUUACAUUAUUUUUUGUUGAUGUAUGAAAAAUAUCUCCCUUAACA
rnacentral:misc_RNA from 1 species